CCAAUCUGGUGUAACCUUUGUAUUAAGAAUAGAACUUUUUAUAAAAAACUGCAUUGAGACGUCUUGAUAAGUAAAAUUGUUAAGUGUCUUAAAAUACAAUAGUACAGCUAUAGCUCACCCUCUUUGGAGUAAUAUGUGACCUGAAAGGGUAACUCUAUUUCUCCUCGUUGGGAAGACUUGUUGCUGGAAGUUUUUGAUUGCUGAACGUCAAAGGCGGCAUUCAAUUGUUCGAGUAACGACGAACUUAAAA
rnacentral:misc_RNA from 1 species